UGAAGACUUGUGUAAAUCCUUCCUGGUGGGUGGAUGCUGUUUGAUUUAUUUUCAGUUAGAAAUUAAAUUAUUUCAUCUUCUCCAUUUACAGAGAUUGAUGCUGGAAAAGUGUGCAAGAAGUUACUGUUGAAUGGUUUGCUAGCCAAGCCCACUCAUGGUGACAUCAUCAGAUUUGCUCCGCCCCUUAUUAUCAAUGAGAGCCAAUUAAAUGAAUGUAUUGACAUCAUUAGCUCUACAGUUUGUUCUAUGUAACUCAACAUGGAGCAGUGAGGAUAUAGGAAAAAAACACAUGUUAUAUACUGUAAAGUCAGGAUAUGUUAACCAUCUUUAACACUGCAUUUUUUUAUAAGAUAUUGGGUAUUGAAUGGCAUUUUUAGUGUUUUAAAAGAAUUGAAAUAGUUUUUGUGCUUUUGAAGCUCAUAUUGUUUUGUAUUGCUGUUCUAAAUGUAGUUUAAAUGCUUAUUUGCAUUUAGGAUAAGAUACUGAUAAAUGAAAGGUAAAGGGGUGUUAUUGUAUAGUAUUAUAUGGGCAUAGUGUUACAGAUCGUAUAUUGCCAUGGUAGUUCAGAUCUCCUUUGAAUCAAAUCCAGUAACAGUAUUAUGAAGAAAUUAACUUUACUUGGUCAGAAAUUCAUGUCAAAAGUUUUUAAAAGAUUUCUUUUGUCAAUACUAGUCAGCUGCAAUAUUUGUUUGUAUAUUCAAAAAAAGGACAUUUUCCACGUUUUAAAGGCUGUUAUUGCCUCCGUUUGAUAUUAAAAUCUUUCUCAGAAUUAUUUAAAGGUCCAUUACUAAGGGAAAGUGAGUUGGCAAUUUUUUUCAUAGCCAGUGCAUAGACUUCUGCAAGACACUAAAUAAUGAAGAUUGGCAGGUCAAAAUUUACAGAAGGUCUUUGGAACUCAAAGAAAUGUAUGUGUAUUAUGUUGAAAUUUCAGUGAAUCGACAGAAUGACCCCCCAGGUCUUUUUAACUUUCUUCAUACUUCAUAGAAAAAUAAUUGUACAUAUACUGUGAUUUAUUUCGAAUUUCUACAUACCAACUUUCAUUUUCCAAUAAAAUGAAAUAGUUUCUGUGCUUUUUAAAAGAAAUUAAAAUGUUCACUUUCCUUAGUAUUGGACCUUUAAACAAAGACAUGGAUAACUCACCUCUAUAUAUGACCCAUAUUGUUUUUCUUUGAAAAUGUGCAGUUAUUUCUUUGGCUUUGUGUGUUUUAUGAAAGUCAUUAUUUCUUACACGUUUAUGACAUUUAACUGCAGAAUUUGGGAUGAAAAUAGUACUGUUUUGAGAAUAAAUACAACUUAGUUCCGUUUAGAGUGCUAGGAAUCAGAUUCUAAGCUCGUAACAUUUUCUUUAUUGAAGGAAACAAAACAAUCUCUAAAAUGUAUAUAUAAAACUUUUUACAGAUAAAAAGAUCUGGUAACCUUUAGCUUGCUUGCGGCAAGUGAUUUUGCCUUUGCAAUCAGUGCAGACCAAGACCAGCCUGCAUCUGCGUGCUGACCAUGGUCUGUGCUGUUUGCUAUUCAGUCAGUAAAUUUUCCAUGAACAACCAUUUGAAUAAUAAGUGGUAAUGCCUAAAUUGAAUGAUGGAACACUUGAUUUUAGAAAUAUAGGAGGGUAAGUGUUAAACAAGUUUUUGUUUCUUACAGGCUUUUGUGAUUGAGAUGAAUUUGAAACUAGAUAUUAUGUUGGCAGGUGAAUUUAAAACUAGAUAUUAUGUUGGCAUUACAACAGGUGUACAUUAUACUUUGCUCACUUAUAGUGGCAAGUUUGCUUGGAAGUUUAAAUCUUUAUGCAUUUCCUUUGUGAUAACAAACUGUACUGGUGUAUUCAGUUUUUUUUUGAAUCUCAAAGAGCUUUUUUAGAAUAGUUGUUUAAAUUUUUUAGAAGUGUCCAGUAAUACUUUCAUGAUAUUGCGAUUUUGUUAAAUUAAAUAAAUAUGGUAUUGUAAACAGAAUCUCAAAAAACCACUUGUAUAAUAUUAAAUGUGAUAUAUAUUUGCUGGCUGCCUUUGAAAUACUUGUUUUCUCUUUUAAAACAGUAUUAUAUAUGUAACUUUCAAAGGAAAAAACUACUACAGCAGCCUAUUGUAAAUAUUUUUAAGGAAGGUGAUAAGUUUGUACUACUACCAGUUAAUAUUAAAUAUUAUCUUCAGUGAAGAUUUUAAGAAGGAGUGAAAUACAAUGCUGAAUAGUUUGGAAAGCAAAAUUGUCUUUCUCUAGUGCCUGUAAACUGAUGGUAUUUAUACAUACAGUUUUAAAUUACUUUUUAAAAUAAUUUUUGGAGUUUUUUAUCUUUUGAAAAAAGAAAUCCAUAGAAUGGAUUCCCAUUUUUGCUUGUUUUCUAGUGAUUUGUUCUUUGAUAUGCGUAGAAAUAUUUUAAUUUUGUUUUGUGCUUUUAUCAAAAUGUUGGACAUAAAAUGUUGUGGGACUGGUGUGUUUUGCCGUGUUUAGGGAAUAGGAAGUUUUCAUUGAUAUGAAUGUGUUUCUGUUUAAUUUACAGUUAAUAUGUGACCGGAAAAUUCAUGUUUUGAAGUUUUUGAGUUUAGUUUAAACUGUCAAAAGUUUUCCCCAGUAUAUUUGAAAAGUCUUACUUUAUUAUAGAAAUGAGAAUUAUAUAAAUUUGGUUUAAUUUUGUGUUUGGUGUAUCUGUCUUUUACUUCACCUGUGUUAUAUUUAUGCUAGAAAAGUGCUAAAUUUUCUUGGUGCGUCAUGUGCUUUAUACAUGUAUUUACACUCAUGAUGCUGGUUCUUAUUUAAGAGUCUUAUAUGACAGGGUCUUAGUGGCAGUUUUUUAUGAUAUAAGGGGAAAAGAAUGUUGGUCUGUUUGUCGCACAAUAAACUUUGAUAAAUUGUCCAGAACCCCCAGCAGGACUUCCUGUAAAUUUGGUAGGAAGAUGCAUUACUGAGCAUAGUUGCACAUAUUUUAAAACAAAAUCUUGAUAAAAUAUUGUGCUAGAGUUAUUGAAUGGAAAAAAAACUUUUGUAUGGAAUAAUUUUCACUAAUUUCUGAUUUUAAUUGAAACAGCUCUGCACUGAAGUUUCUAGUGUGCCGGUGCAAUUUACGCGAGAAGUUUCUGGUGCACUUGUGCAUGCAGUCUCUUUUAAAUCAGAUAAAACUUCUGCUUUUUUCCCAUGUAGUAGGGAUUUCUUGGUUGAUGAUUUUAAUAAGAUCUUUUAGUGCAAACUAUUCUUUGGUUAGCAAACACAUGUAAGUAAAUUUGGUUACCAAGGUAACAAAGGUUAUUUUUAUAGAAGUUUCUGUAACUGUACAAUUUUUGGUCAUAUAUGGAAGCAGGUUCAAGCCUUGAUACACAUAGCACGGUUUCUACUCAUUAACCAGUUGCAGUGCAUAUGUUGUAGCAACACACGUGCACAGUUCUAAAAUUCGUUAUUAAAAUAUAGUUAGUUAAUAUUUUUAUCUUACUGAUUUCUUUAGUUUUUAAUUCUGAUAGAGCAGAGCCAAUGAAAAAAAAAUUUUGUUGUUUUUUUCGUGGAAUUCAACACUUUACCUAUAACUUACCUUCAAAAAUUAACUUUGUGCAGAUUUUAAUAAGAAAGUUUUAGGCUAGGAGCAUUCAUAAAUACCAAAACCACUUGAGCAUUUUCCAUUGAAGUAUGUGACGGGAAGAUGUUUUCUAAGAUAACUGGCAUUUUUGCUAGUAUCAUAGUUGAAAAUCGCGCUUUUUGGUGAUAUGAUUUUUCAUUUAGUAUUAAUGUCUGUUGACGUUUUUGUCUCUAGUUGUUUUUGAAUGAGAUUGUAUUUGAAGGCUUUACUGUAACAGCAUAAUAAAAUGAACAAGAGAUCAUAA